AUUCAAAAAUUGCAUCAAAGACUGAAAAAGGACUAACACUAUAGUUUUCUUACUCAAUUUUACUAAUUUUAGUCCCAUCUAAUUAGUUUGCUUGAUAAAGAGAAAUUUAUAAGGUAUAUUUAUGCAAUUAACGAUCAAGUAAUCAUGUCAAAGUGGUGUAAUCUGUCGUCAGAAGAUCAUAAUCCAGAUGAUCUCAAACAUGAUUCAAAUCACACGUUGCAUGGGAAGAGAUCUUCAAUAAGAAAGAAUUUAUUUCCUGAAAGAUGUCCAGCGUUUUAUUAUAAAGCAAAAAGUGCCAUUUCAAGCGGUGUAACUAAAAUUAAUAAAGCACUAAUGGUUUUAAAAAACAAGUGUUCAUCAGCAGCUCAGACUUUGCAUCCAAACAUGUACAAAAGGCAUUCUCUUCAGGAAUGUGGAAGUGUGACGACUGAUUUUCAAACACCAUCAAGGAAAACUCGAGUUAUUCUUGGGCGGACGCCUAUCAAACUCUACAGUCCUUUUGGAAUUGAAACUCCUAUCAGACCAUUUUAAUACAAGAUGCUGCAAAGCGAGCCUUCUAAAGGACUUCUAUUCAGUAUUAAUAUUGAAUGAGGAACAAAUAAUUCUCUUCAAGAUAACAUUAAGCAUUUAACUAUGUUAGACUUAAGUAUAUUUUUGUACUUUUUUACAUAUUUUCUCAUGUUUUUCAUUGUGUUUGAAACCAAUAAACCUCAAGUAUUUUGUAUAA